UGCGGAAUUUUAGAUAAUGGAGGGAACUCUGAUCUAGCGACGCCGCGUGCAGGAAGAAGGUCUUCGGAUUGUAAACUGCUGGGGUAAGGGAAAAAUGCUAGGUAGAGUGGAAAGCUACAUAGAGGGAUGGUACCUUACUAGAAAGCCCCGGCUAACUACGUGCAAGAAGCCGCGGUAAUACGUAGGGGGCGAGCGUUACCCGGAAUAACUGGGCGUAAAGGGAGCGUAGGUGGCCUAACAUGUCAACUGUGAAAACCCGGAGCUCAACUCCGGACUGGCAGUUGAAACUGGUAGGCUUGAGGACGGUAGAGGAAGACGGAACUGCCAGUGUAGGGGUAAAAUCCUUAGAUAUUGGCAGGAACGCCGGUGACGAAGGUGGUUUUCUGGGCCGGUUCUGACACUGAUGCUCGAAAGCCAGGGGAGCGAACGG
rnacentral:rRNA from 1 species